rnacentral:rRNA from 1 species
AGCGAACGCUGGCGGCAGGCCUAACACAUGCAAGUCGAACGAAGUCUUCGGACUUAGUGGCGGACGGGUGAGUAACACGUGGGAACGUGCCUUUAGGUUCGGAAUAACUCAGGGAAACUUGUGCUAAUACCGAAUGUGCCCUUCGGGGGAAAGAUUUAUCGCCUUUAGAGCGGCCCGCGUCUGAUUAGCUAGUUGGUGAGGUAAAGGCUCACCAAGGCUACGAUCAGUAGCUGGUCUGAGAGGAUGACCAGCCACAUUGGGACUGAGACACGGCCCAAACUCCUACGGGAGGCAGCAGUGGGGAAUCUUGCGCAAUGGGCGAAAGCCUGACGCAGCCAUGCCGCGUGGAUGAUGAAGGUCUUAGGAUUGUAAAAUCCUUUCACCGGUGAAGGUAAUGACUGUAGCCGGAGAAGAAGCCCCGGCUAACUUCGUGUCAGCCGCCGCUGUAAUAC